AAAGGAUCGUCCUGGAUACAAAGAUUUACAUUAAAAAAGGGACCAAGUAAAACAUAGAUCAAAUGAUGCUCUACUUAAAGUAGUAAGGAAGGUCGAGGACAUACAGGAGGAAGUAAGCCCAAGUGACACCAGAGAUUCCACCAAAGAAGAACCCUCCAGUGAACUUAGCCCAUCCAUCCGCCGUUUGCAACUGGUCUGGCUCUUUCUUCCUCCCAGUCAGGGUUAGGCUCGGUGCUAUCGAUGGCUCACCUUCUUUGAACGAUGCAACGCCAUACAUCGUCAAGCAAAUGCUGAGGAUCACAACCA
rnacentral:lncRNA from 1 species